rnacentral:ncRNA from 1 species
UUUAGUAUAAAUAAAUUUUUAUUAUAAUUUAUAUAUUUAAUAAUUUAAAUAAUUUUGAAUAUAGAAAUUAAUAUUUAGAAUAAUUUAUUUUAAUGAAAAUUAUUAUAGAAAAUUUUAUUAUGAAUUAUUAAUAAAUUUAGGUGCCAGCAAUUGCGGUUAAACUGAUAAUGAAAAUAAAUAUUUUUAAUUAAUUAGAUUAAUAGUAAAAUUAGUGAUAUAAUAAAAUAGAAAAUUUUUAUUAAUUUGUAUUUAUAGUGAAAUGUUAAUACACUUAUUAAAUAAAAGUUUAGGUUUUAUAAAAAUAUUUUUAAAUAAGUUUUAUAAAAAAUUAGGAUUAGAUACCCUAUUAUUUUAGUGAAAUUAGGUUAAUUAAAUAUUAAAUGAUAAACAUUAAAAAUAAAAAAUUUGGCGGUAAUUUAUUAAAUUAGAGGAACUUGUUAAUUAAUUUGAUAAUCCACGAAUGGAUUGACUUAGUAUAAAUAUUUUUAUAUAUUGUUGUUGUUAAUUAUAUUAAAAGGUUUAUAAUUAUAAAGUUAAGUAAAGAUUAAAUACAAAUCAAAAUGUAGAAUUAUUAAGAUUUAUAAUGAGUUACAGUAAAAAAGAUUUUUUUAUUAAUAAUAUUUUAAUUAGAUUAUUUUAAUAAAAUGGAUUUAAAUGUAAAUUUGUAUAAAUUUAUAAAUUGAAUUUUAUUUAAAUUAUGUACAAAUUGCCCGUCAUUCUUAUUAAUAAAAAUUUAUAAGAAAAGUCGUAACAAAGUAAAUAUAUUGGAAAGUGUAUUUAGAAU